ensembl:lncRNA
GUUGGAAAAGCCUAUUAACAAGCUCCCUGCCUGCCUGUUUGGAGACGUUGUCGAAUUGAGAGUCUCGGCACCUGAGGCGGUCUGUUAAUAAAGAUCGUUUGUAGCAGAUUUCUGUUCUAUUAAGAAUGGACAUAAAACAGCAUAAUUUAAAACAUGUCAAUAACUCAAGGCAAAAAUGCCAAACAUAGUCUGUUCUGUCUUUAUAAAAUGGAGCCAAGUAUACACAAGGAGAGCGCCAGGAAGGCUUCUGCUGACUGGCUUUAGAGAUUGAUCAUGAUGAAUAAUGCGAUUCUUCAAGUUAAAACAACCUCGUGGGUGAGUUUCUCUUUGUCUUUUCUGUACUAAACUCAAGGGAUCUUUUUUAUUUAAGGGCCAAUGAGAUUCCUAACAUCCAAUCCUGGAAGAUGCCUGGAAACCUGUGCCCUUUGUCAGCCUCGUGAAUUCAUAAUAGCAUGCUGCUGAGAUGCUAGUCAGCACACUGUUUUAUGGAUUUCAAAUAAAUGUAGCAGUUGACAGAUUUCUGAAGAACUGUGAAGGAAAUCCAUCUCUCUGAUGUUGCCAAACCAUUCAGGCCUCCAUCAAUGAGAUUGCAGAGGCCUUCAAGGUUCACAAUAUUCACCAAGACAUCUAUGGAAAUACGCUAUUGCUUUCCUACGAUGCAAAUACAGAUCACACAAGAAGGAAAAGUUCCAUGUAUUUCUCACCACUAAAUGAAGCCGUUAAUAUAUGUCUUAACUCCAUGAACUAUGCAGCUUCCAAAACAACCAAGAAAAGGAGCCAACAAGUAGGAUUCGUUAUUGCCAAACUCAGCUCUUCGUCAUCGUAUAACUAGAGGAUAAAUAAGAUGGAAGUUACACUGCGUGCUCAAUAUUAUUAGCAAGCAUGGCUUGAUGGUAUGCAGGUCCGCACCUGGGAUCCAAACCUGUGAACCCUGGACCGCAGAAGCAGAGCUCGUGAACCUAACCACUAUGUCUCCAGGCUGACCCCAGGGUGUUCAGUAUUUUAUCUGGAAAGCCUACCUCCAACAGACAAGUGUUAAGUGGAACCCCCACGUCAAGACUGAAUUCUCAACAUGGCCUGACUGCUGUGAGUUCUCAUCCAGCAGUUUGGUUGAAAUGAUACAUGGAAUGUGAGUCAAAAUAAUGGAACUUCUAGGUACAAUUUUUGUUGUAUAUAUUUUACAUUGCAUACAAUAUAUUAGUGUAGUAGCAUAUCUACAUAUGUAGUUUAUAUAUAAUUUACAAAUAAACACUUAUUGGAACUGAACUGUCAAACAUUUAUUCCUGAUAGGGGAGAGGAAUCAAAAAGAGUUAUCAAUAGAUGAGCAGCAUUGCGACAAAGAGCUUCUAUUCCUUUUCCCUUUAACAACAAAGAAAAGAUAUUCAAAUCAGGAAAAUCCUUAUAUGCUUGGUAAAAAUGUCACUAAGCUAUUUAGUUUGGGGAAUUUGUGAAAUUAACCAGAUGUGCUGAAAUAUACUUUCUUGUUGCAAAAUAGCUGGUAAUCCACUAGGAUAAAUCGCUGUGAGGUAAUCACAUUCGAACAAUUCAUUUGGUGCAUUCUUCUUCUUACUUAGGGAAAAAAAGAAAUUUGCUUGGACUUGAUCCUUGCACUUCACAGGAUCAGUCAUACUUUGUUGAUUUGUUCCAACAAUUGCCCGCCCAUUAAAUUUGAAAAGAUAAAAAGUGGAAAAAAUAUAAGAAGCCACAAAACACCCCUUCUCUGUGGAGUGACAGCAUUGUAAUACCACAGAAUCUAGAGACAGAUGGUGGCUUAUAGCAGACAUCAAUCUUCAAUGAGAGUAAAUUUCGGAUAAUGCCCCUCUUUGGUAAUGGACAUGUCUUUGCAAAGUUAUUGCUGACAGCAUCCUCUAACGUGCUGAUUUGCUAAGACAAGGUUUUUAUUGCAUCUAAUCUUGUCGUGAGGCAUGAAAAGAGUGGCUGGGUACAUGUUUUUCAUGUAUAGUUUUUACAAGAAUUGCCUGCAUUAGAGAGUGGCUAAAUUGUUUUCCAUAUUUUAUGGCACAUUUCAAAUGUUCCGCCACACACAACAUUGAUCACUCAGUCCAUUAGCUUAUUAUGAUAUCCUGAAAGGAGACACUUCCCUUGGGAAAAGCCAUAAUUUGAAAUGAGAUGAAGGCUCUGACUCCCUAGGACAGAGUGGGGUGGGAUCUACUGAGCAACUGCUUAAUUUCCUCAAGGGAAAUAGCCAGUUAAAUAUAUAUAGAAAUGUAAAUACACACAUAUAUUUUUCAAAAUGUCUGACCUAUUCAAAUCUACUUUGUCUUCUGAGGGACUUGGACACUUUCCAGCAGCUCAAACUGGCUUCAGUAAGGAUGGGGCAGCUUUUACAAUACAAAACUUUUUCAUAAUUAUGGGAAAUACUCAUGGCAUUAUCAGGGUUCUAAUAGAAAAAAUAGAGGGACUUUAAUAUAGGGGUUUGUUAACACAGGUUGUAGAAGAGCUGAAAAAACGCACAAGACCAUGGAGCAUCCCAGAGAUCAGCAACAACAGAAAGUGCCACCACCACCAGGUGGUUCUGACGGAUCCAGGGCCAUUCACUGGGGCUAGACCCAUUCUGGGGUUGUCUUUGGGAGCUGGGCCCAUGAAAGGAAGAGUUUUCCAAUGGACCUGGAAUCACCGUGGAGGUAUAGCCCCUGAAGGAGACACCAUGGAACAGAAAGCGAGAACAUACCGGGUUCCCCCUUCUUUCUACCCUCUGGUUUCCAACAGUUGCCCCCUUUGGCAAGGAAGCCUUGUAAAUGCAGUUCCCAGAAAUGCAGAACAAAGUAGAAGGGCAGGGAACAAAGCUAGGAGCCAACAGAUAAAUAAAUAACUUGGACAAAAUUAAAGCAGCUUCAUUUCUUUAGCACUUCGUUUAGUAUGUUACUGAGCACUGUAAACUCUAUCCUACACAUAAAGACACAAUUUUUCCCAAGCUAAGUAAACUUUGAAAUCUUUGUCCAUAGGAGUAAGGAUCGAAGUGGCCAUUGGGGACAUCAAAGCAAAGCGUUUCUCAGAACAUUUCAAAAAUUGCUGUGAGAUGGCUACUCAGGCUCCUAAUGGCAUUUGUGUUUCAGGAAAUGUAACUGAAUGGGAAAAUGGUGGAUGCCCCAUUGCAUUCUGCACUUCGUCUGUGUCAGAAUCUUAUGCUAGGUGCUUCCGCGUGUUUCACUUCAUCUUCAGAGUGGCCUAAAAGAGGAAUUCAUAUCUCUUGUGGGGAUAUAAGCUUUGAUAUCUUUAUCUACCUCUGAAAACCCCAAAUGAUGUCCUCCCUGUAGGACGUCCUUUGCAUCUGCUGUUGAGAUAUAAAAUCCUAGGGGAAGGGACUGAUGAAGAUCUGUUCAAUGGAAAGGAGCAAGCAGUGGCCACUUUAAGACCCCUGGGUCCUAGGUUUGGCGAAGAGUGGACAGUCCUGGAGGAACAUGAUGGGCUAAGGAGCAGGAGGUAAUUGUAAUAAAUGGAGGGAAACUUAGCACGGCCUGUUUGUUAGGAUUCUUCUUCGUAUUCCUUUGUCUCUGGAGAUGAGAUGAGAACGGUCCUUUCCUCUGGGUGUAGGUUGGCCACCUUUCAUGAGGAGUUUGUGACCUGCUUCAGGGAAAAAGGGUGAGGCGGGUGCAGAGGAGGUCAGAGUGACCUUCCUGCUUCUAAUAUCUUCUCAAACUCCUUUGGCUUAAAAUAUUCAAUAUCCCAAGAUGCCAUAUUUUAGGGUAACAUGUCCUGAACCCCAUCAGCUCCCAUAGCAUCCAGUACUUAUCUUUGCCAAUAUGUAUUUUCAAUUAUUUUGUUAGUGCUCAUUAUUGCUGCAAACUCUCUGAAGAUAAGGAACCAAGCCUUCUUGUUCACCAGAGCACAUAGUAGGCAUUCCAUAACUACAAUGCAGUCUAUACAGAAGGCGAAAUAUAAUGAUGUACACCUGAAAUGUACAUAAUAUUAUAAACCAAUGUGACCUCAGUGAAACUUUUUUAAAAAGAGAAAAAAGUAAAGAAUAAAUGCCAUUUUGUUACCUUUAUUUGCAGGUCCUGGUUCAUUAUGUCUUUAGGGUUCUAAUUUAGGGAAACUAAGGACAAACGAGGCACAAAGAUGGGGGACUGCUUCAGGGUGUAAGUUUCCUGUUGGUAGAAAUGCUCUGGACCAUGAAGUCCUUGUCCCUUCAUCAAUUGGACGUAGCCUUUAGCCUCGCCUAAAGAUCCAAAGAGCUUUUCAAACGAAGUGAAGUUUGAGAGCAUUUCGAAGUGAAGUUUUUGCUUGUUUUAUAGUUCUCUGCUACUUGAGCUGCUUGCACUCACACCCAAUAAAUGCACUGUCUCCUCAUAGUUUGAAUUUUGGUAUUUGUACUUGCUCAGCUGACUGCUCCCUGCUGGUGCUAGUUUGCAGUGACGUCUCUGGCCCUAGCUCCUAGCCUACCUGUUCAUAUAGGAGCCUUGCAUAUUCUGGUGUUUUUAUAGCCAUAUUUUCCAAAAGUAGUCCAAAAAAUAAUAACUCUGAGGAAUGUGAAUAGUUGUUAUCAAGGAUCUGUGAUCAAAUGGUUGUCAAAAAGCUGGUCUGAAUGGGAGAUUUAGUAAGAUGAUUUUCCCAACGUGUUUGUCUAUACUUUUUUCUUGAAGCAUAUCAGUGGAACCGCAUAUCAGUGGAAGCUACUUGGAGAAAUACUACUUUAUGGCCUCCUUGGUAGAGUCCAGCCUUUUAUUUUCUAAUAGUAAAC